rnacentral:rRNA from 1 species
UACAGCCAUGCUGGACUGAAUAUACCAGAUUUCCUCUGAUCUUGGAAGCUAAACAGUUGGAAGCUUGGAAUCCUGGCUAGUAUUGGCUGGAA